UGUGGGUCACUGAUGUACAAUGGAGGACCUGUACAGCCACACUGCCUUCAUUUCCAGCCAUGCUUGCAUAGAUUGUCCCCACGGACGGAUGAUGUCAGAAUCCCCUGUUAGCGCUGCAAGGUUGAAUGAGGACCUUUGGUCCUAAGGGGACCCAACCCUUGCUGAAGGGUUGGAAAGACUGACACCUACCAGAGUCCUAUAGUGCAGUGCCACCAGUAAAAUGAAAUAUUUCCACAGAGCAGGACAUGUAACAUCUUCACACUGAGCAGAGGUCUCCACUGAGCUGUCUACAGAGAUACCCAGAUCCCUUUCCUGAGUUGACACUGUUAAUUUAGGACCCAGUAAUGUGCAUAGCUUUGCAUUUAUCAGCACUGAACUUCAUUUGCCAUUGUGUUGCCCAUUCACCUAGUUUGGUUAGGUCCCUCCGAAGUUCUUUACAAUGUUAUCCGGACUUGACUAACAAACAAAUAUGUCAUCUGCAAAUUUUGUUACCUCACUGCUUACCCCCUUUCCAGAUUGUUAAUAAAUAUAUGAAACACUA